UGGCACCUAAUACGAGUGAAAUAAGCAUGAUAUCCCCAAAGAUCCUUGACCGGCUGUUCAGAUGUAGACAGACAGGAGAAUACUUACUUUCCUACUUUGUUUGUGAUCAUCGCCAUGACUGCAUGGAUCAAGAUCAAUCAGACGAAGAAGCUUGCCCAAAAUCAGCACGCGGAACAAAUGCGAUCACUUUCCUCUGUGACAAUG